rnacentral:misc_RNA from 1 species
AGUGGUCAGGAAGUUCUUGGCUAGGCCUCAACAUGAAGGAUUUGGAGCCAUUGUUAGAAGGAGCAUAGGAAGGUUUGAAUUGAAGUACUUUGAUCCUUUUCUUGUAUUGGAUGAGUUCUCUGUUACAGCCCCAGCUGGUUUCCCUGAUCAUCCACACAGAGGAUUCGAGACAGUUACCUACAUGUUGCAGGGAGCUAUGACACAUGAAGAUUUUGAAGGGCACAAGGGGACCAUAUGUACUGGUGACUUGCAAUGGAUGACUGCUGGAAGAGGGAUUGUUCACUCUGAGAUGCCUGCAGCUCAAGGAAUCCAAAAGGGUCUGCAGUUGUGGAUCAACCUCUCCUCAAAACAUAAGAUGAUUGAGCCAAAAUAUCAAGAAAUAUCCAGCAAGGACAUUGCAGAAGUAUCAAAAGAUGGGGUGAAGGUCAGGGUCAUAGCAGGAGAGGCAUUGGGGACAAAAUCACCAAUCUACACAAGGACCCCCACCAUGUACAUGGAUUUCAGUCUGAAACCAGGAGCUCACCUUCAACAACCCAUACCCAUAACUUGGAAUGCUUUUGUGUAUGUCUUGGAAGGUGAAGGCAUGUUUGGGAAUGCAAAAUCUCUGCCAAUAUCAGCUCACCACCUUCUUCUUUUAGGGAAUGGAGAUGGGUUGGAAGCAUGGAACAAGUCAUCUAAAACCCUAAGGUUCAUUUUGGUUGGAGGAGAACCACUGGGUGAGCCUUUGGUGCAAUGGGGGCC